UCGUAAUGCUAGAGCACUUUUUCAAUGGCGACAACGACAAGGCGACGACGCAUUCGUAUGUCAUCCAUAUCAACUUUCGAUGCCAUUUACUGCGCCUACCAUGGUGACCACGGGUAACGGAGAAUCAGGGUUUGAUUCCGGAGAGGGAGCCUGAGAAACGGCUACCACAUGCAAGGAAGGCAGCAGGCGCGCAAAUGAACCACUCCCGACGCGAGAAGGUAGUGACGA
rnacentral:rRNA from 1 species